rnacentral:rRNA from 1 species
GACGAACGCUGGCGGCGUGCCUAAUACAUGCAAGUAGAACGCUGAAGGAGGAGCUUGCUCUUCUGGAUGAGUUGCGAACGGGUGAGUAACGCGUAGGUAACCUGCCUGGCAGCGGGGGAUAACUAUUGGAAACGAUAGCUAAUACCGCAUAAGAGUAGAUGUUGCAUGACAUUUGCUUAAAAGGUGCACUUGCAUCACUACCAGAUGGACCUGCGUUGUAUUAGCUAGUUGGUGGGGUAACGGCUCACCAAGGCGACGAUACAUAGCCGACCUGAGAGGGUGAUCGGCCACACUGGGACUGAGACACGGCCCAGACUCCUACGGGAGGCAGCAGUAGGGAAUCUUUGGCAAUGGACGGAAGUCUGACCGAGCAACGCCGCGGGAGUGAAGAAGGGUUUCGGAUCGUAAAGCUCUGUUGUAAGAGAAGAACGAGUGUGAGAGUGGAAAGUUCACACUGUGACGGUAUCUUACCAGAAAGGGACGGCUAACUACGUG